rnacentral:misc_RNA from 1 species
AUUCCAACAUCCCUUUCCUCUCAACUUAGGUCCAUCUCCUCUAGGUUAAGCCUUUCCCCUUUGCCACACGUGCCGAAUCACCUCUGCCCCUCCAGGCAAAGGGAGGCCACCUCCCCUUAUCUAAUUAGUUGGUCUCCCUCUCUACUGCUGGGUAGGGUUGUAGAUAGUUUUUGAUGGUUGGGCAGCAAGCAUGAAUGGUAGAGGGAUCCAAAGGCUGCUAUUAGGCUGUGUUGUGUUUCUUCUUUGAUCCUAUUCUAUUCUUUUAUUGGUUCUUUGGUGUAGUUGUUUGCUAGUCUGGUGAUGCUAUAGGAGGAUAUUUUGGCAGAUCUGCUUCGAUUCAAAAUGUUGCAUGGUCACUUGAGCGCUAUUAUGGUUAGGCUGAAAGCAAAUAUCUGCUACUGAUAGUAAGGUAAAAGCAACGAGUGUGUCGCAACCCUAGCUAAACGAGAUUGAGACACCAAUGGGGCUCUACUCCUUCUUACUCCCUCUUCCUGUGUGGAUUGCCAAUCAAAUUUUGAGUAAUUUCUUUGGGCCCAUAGCCUCGUUCUUUCCUUUUGCUUCAUGUGGUUCCUUUUACCUGCUAUCGGUGUUGUUUAGCUGGUUUGGGUCUUUUUGUGGUGGA